GAUGAAUGCUGGCGGCGUGCCUAACACAUGCAAGUCGAGCGGUAAGGCCCUUCGGGGUACACGAGCGGCGGACGGCUGAGUAACGCGUGGGAAUUUGCCCCAAAGUGAGGAAUAACUGCCCGAAAGGGUAGCUAAUGCCGCAUAUGGUCUUCGGAUUAAAGGAUUUAUCCGCUUUGGGAGAAGCCCGCGUUGGAUUAGGUAGUUGGUGAGAUAAAAGCUCACCAAGCCAACGAUCCAUAGCUGGUCUGAGAGGAUGACCAGCCAGACUGGAGCUGAGACACGGUCCAGACUCCUACGGGAGGCAGCAGUGAGGAAUCUUCCACAAUGGGCGAAAGCCUGAUGGAGCAACGCCGCGUGCAGGGUGAAGGCCUUCGGGUUGUAAACUGCUUUUAUGAGUGAAGAACAUGACGGUAACUCAUGAAUAAGCACCGGCUAACUACGUGCCAGCCGCCGCAGUAA
rnacentral:rRNA from 1 species